GCCUGGGUGGCUCAGUGGUUGAGCGUCUGACUUCAGCUCGGGUCGUGAUCUCAUUGUUCAUGGAUUUGAGCCCUGCCUCAGGCU
rnacentral:tRNA from 1 species